ensembl:lncRNA
CAAAGACACAGAGAAGCUAUAAACCAACAAAAAGAGUGUUUCAUCACGGGCCCAGACUGGAUGAGCACCACCCUCCUGCUCUGCUGUAGGUGAAGCGGUCAGAGCUCUGUUCCUGGACCAUCCUGUUCCUAACCAUAUACAGUCUUCUGUUGGAAUCACCUCAUCUCUGCUAUUAACUGGAAGAAGGACGUGUCCUUUAAACGUGUCCACAGGUGUGUCCUACCAAAGGUGUCCUUAAAACUGCUAUAAAACGUGACUCUCAGGGGUUUUGGAACGACGUCUUAUCUGGACCACAUCAGGACAGCAGCAUAAACUCGUCUCUAUCUUCCAUGUCCUCACUGUCAUGAUGGAAAUGCACAACUAUACUGACACUAUCAAACUUUCUGCUCUUGUCCUUUUGUCAAAUAAAGCUUUUUUUUUAAG